rnacentral:tmRNA from 1 species
GGGGGCGUCACGGUUUCGACGUGAUUAGUGAAUAUGGAACUGCGUGCCGAGGUCCCCGGGUCCUCGAUAAUCCUCUGGGAAAAUUGUAAUUGCCAACAAUGAAAUGGCGAUGGCUGCGUAACUUAGGUUACGUGCUCGUUUCUUGAUUUCCUAGCUCGAAGGAAGUCUCUGAGGCGUCGAUAAAUCGAGCUGGUUUUCGGUUAGCACUAUCCUGGCCGAAGGUGAGAUUGUCAGAUAGUUAGUCUGGGAAUUGGUUGCCCGCUCACCUGUCCAGAUGAAAUUAAGAGUGGUGCUACGCACGUAGAGGUACCAUAGGAAUUAUUUGCGGACGCGGGUUCGACUCCCGCCGCCUCCAUUA